rnacentral:rRNA from 1 species
AUUGAACGCUGGCGGCAUGCUUUACACAUGCAAGUCGAACGGCAGCGCGGGCUUCGGCCUGGCGGCGAGUGGCGAACGGGUGAGUAAUACAUCGGAACGUGCCCAGUAGUGGGGGAUAGCUCGGCGAAAGCCGGAUUAAUACCGCAUACGACCUGAGGGUGAAAGCUGGGGAUCUUCGGACCUCGCGCUAUUGGAGCGGCCGAUGGCAGAUUAGCUAGUUGGUGGGGUAAAGGCCUACCAAGGCGACGAUCUGUAGCUGGUCUGAGAGGACGACCAGCCACACUGGGACUGAGACACGGCCCAGACUCCUACGGGAGGCAGCAGUGGGGAAUUUUGGACAAUGGGCGAAAGCCUGAUCAAGAAAUGCCGCGUGUGUGAUGAAGGCCUUCGGGUUGUAAAGCACUUUUGGCGGGAACGAAAAGGACUGUGCCAAUACCACGGUUCGAUGACGGUACCCGCAGAAUAAGCACCGGCUAACUACGUG